CGCUCCCGCCGCGGCGUGUGCUCCGCUCGGUGCUUCAUCCGCCGCCCGGUGCUUCACCCGCACCGCGUGUGCUCCGCUCGGUGCUUCACCCGCACCGGGCACGGCGGGGAGGAUAGCAACCGCACCGGGAAGAGCGGGUCACCUGCACCGGGCGCAGCGCCGCGCCCGCACCCUCUCUGAGGGGAGCUUCACCCCGCUCAUAUCGCACCUCACCCACGUCAGGGAGAGCGGAUCGCCCGCGCAGCGAGGAGCUCGUAAAACGCACCGGGUGUUCUCCCCUCAGAGCCUCACCCGGGGAGCGGCUCACCCGCCCCGGUGUUCUCCCCUCAGAGCCUCACCCGGGGAUCGGAUCACCCGCCCCGGUGUUCUCCCCUCAGAGCCUUUUCCUCGCCCGAGGAGCGGCUCACCCGCCCGGGUGUUCUCCCCUCAGCGCCUCGCCUCAUCCCUCAGGGGUUGCUCCCCUCAGCCCCUAGGAACGGUCCCCUCAGGGCUUCACCUCUCCCCAGGCAUUGCCCCGGGUUGCUCCCCUCAGCCCCUAGGAACGGUCCCCUCAGGGCUUCACCUCUCCCCAGGCAUUGCCCCGGGUUGCUCCCCUCAGCCCCUAGGAACGGUCCCCUCAGGGCUUCACCUCACUCCCCUGGCAUUGCCCCGGGGUCUCGCCCUCAUGCAAUGGCUGCUCCCUCAGCCCUUCACCUCCCUCCAGCUCGGGCCGAGAGCUGCUCCCUCAGCGCUGUUCUCCUCAGUUUCCCUGUCAACCCUCUUGGCUUGGCUUACUGGGCCGCUCUGAAACUCCCCAUUUCCCUCCAGGGCUGGUUCCUCACGUUCUCCCUCGUUGUUGUUUCUCCUCUCCCACAGCCCUGCUCACCCCUAUUUCAUCUGUCCCCUCACAGAAUGAUUUCCCUUCCUCCCUUUCCCGUGCCCCACUCUGUCGCCACUUCACAGGCAUCCUGUCACCUCUCAAGGAGCUUUUCCCAAAGAACUCAUAAGCAAGCAGGUAUGUGCCUUCAAAUCUGUAUGUAUGGAUUCCAGAGGCUGUAAAGCAAAAGCGUUGCGACACCUCAGUAUGUGUGGAAAAAACAUCCAGAGGAAAAUUGAUCCUUCUUUCUCAGCCUAAUUUCACCCUCAGUCCCCUCAGACCUCGCCCUGAGCCCGUUCAGAGGCACAAAGUGUCACAGGCAGCUGUACCUGGAUGUUCAGCAAAGGAUGUGCUGCUGAGACAAAUCAUGUUAAUGAGAAAGACGUGGUGAUAAAUGUUAAAUAGUUUUAGUGGAUAAUUGCUGUGGGGAUUCCCAUUGCAGUGUCUGCUUUUCAUGGAACAGUGACUGUGCACAACAGAACAGAGACAGAGCUCUAUGCAUUUAUUUACCUGUUUGAUGAGAUUAAAUUAUUUAACAUAUUAGUGCAUUAUAACAAAUGUGCUGUGCUAUUGCAGGAAAAGCUUAUUCAGAGCUGGAGUAAAAUGAGAUCUACCACCAGUGCUUUAUAGCCUAUUAAAUCUGGUUGGGAAGAAGCAUAUUUUUCCAUGCAAUGGGUGACCACUCAACAUAGGACCCACGCAAAGCCCUUUUGUAGCCCUGAUUCAGCAGUCUGAGCACUCACAUCAUUGUGUAGCUUGUUUUUGAGGCCAGUUCAGUUGACACAGGGUUCAGGUAAGUUCAAACAAGCAGUAAUUUAGAGAUCUGUGGGAUAGCUCUGUGCACUGUUUGGUGCUGUUCAGGUGCUGGAGAGUUAGAGGAGUCUCCAGGCUUGGUUUAUUCUAGAAAUAGAUAUUAUUUGCCUCUGUGCAGCAAUAAUUUUUGGACAGGGAGAGUGUGCAGAGCUGCCAUCAAAAGUUUUUAUGAGGGAGAAGCUUCAUGGGCAUCUGUUAUUUUUGGUCAAGCUGUGACAGAGAGAACAACGGCUGCAGACUGACCCUGAUCCUCCCGUGGGAGCCCUGGGAGGAGUCAGAAGAGAGGGAAUGCUGAGAUUGGAAGAUUUUGUGGCAGGUGGGACGUGGCAGCUGAGUUCUGGCAGGGGAGAUAAGCCAGGCUCCUGAAGGUUCCUUAGAGCAAGAAAAAAAACUCCUGGGGUUGGAUUAGUCACAGCAUUUCAUGGGGAGACAGCCACGGGUGUUAUUGUUGUGUUCCCAGAGUGGGAGUUUGACAUUUUUUUCAUUCAUCCACACGUGAGAGGAAUAGAGGGAGAGAAACACAAAGUGUGUGUGCAUUUCAGUGGGAGUAACACUCCACCAAAAAAGCAUUCCAUCUUUAGAUCUUGUGGUACUAUCAUGGUGCUAGUUGAGUAUCUUCCACAAAAUCAACACAAACAGCACAGCUGGGAGUCAAAUGGGAUGUUCCCUUCACAAGCAAGGUGAAGGAGAUUAGCAGAAGGGGUUUGCAGUGUUUUCCAGAGGUUUGGAUGUACCUGUUCUCCAAAGGUACACAGGCUGGGUAACCCAGGCUGAAAAUACUUUGUCUGCAGCUCUUUCCAAGGCCUCCUGGGCUGCUUUAUCCCACAGGAAUGUGGCUGCCACAGCAGCAUCCAGAUGGAGAAUCUGUGUUUGAUAUGGCUGUGGAUUCAAUCCUCUGCCUUGGGAUUGUUUGCAGAUGUUUUGGAAGUCUUCCUUUUAGCCAAAUCUGUGUGUAGUCUUCCCACGCUGAACAGAAGGGAUAUUCACCAUUUUAUAAUUAUUGAUUUGCUUAUUUGGAGUUCUUCUAAUUUCUAUUGACUUGACAAUUCAAAGUUAAAAUGCAGUUAUUGAAUGAAAGCAAUGGAAUAAAACUGAGAAACGUACCCUGUCCUGCCUCACUGCAGGUAAAUAAAAUAAUUGCUGCUAAAUGUAAUUUCCUAAAUUAUUUGAAGUGCCUGCCAUUCAGGAAUUAAGAGUGUGUUGUACAAUCUAUAAACUUACAUGGAAUGCUGAUGUAGCUUCCUACAUGGAAUUUUCAGCACUAGGGCUGUACUGGAUGCAGCAAACUCCAUGCAGUUUGCCUGGCAUCUGCUGCAGAAGAUGUUGUGUAAUGGAAUGAAAAAAAUAUAAUAUUUGUGUUCUGCCUGUCACCAGAAAAUGUCAGCCACUGCAGCUUCAAUGUGCAGUCAGAGGGGUACAGAAGCAACUACAAAGAAAUCUUGGACUACUUUAUGGGAAGACUUGAAAAAUAGACCAGAAUAACUUAGUGACACAGAUCAUCAAGCUGAAGGAAUAAAACCCUCAACUUGUAAAUAGGCUCCUACAGAAAACCACUCUUUAGCUUCCAUUAUUUUGCUUUUUUUUCCCAUUGUUUUGGAGCAGAGUGUUUUGAGCUGCUGUGGUUGCCUGUGCCUCUGGUGGCAGGAUUUUGGGAUCAGCUCCUUCCUGUGAAGGUCUCCUGUGUCCUUGUGCUUCUCUGGACAUCACAGAUACUGAGAUUUAGCAGAAGAUGCUCAUGGGCUGUGGGCAAAAAUUCACUCCUGCGAGCUGCAAGUGGAAAUUCCCUAUUCCUGCUUGGAAUUUGCCUAUUAUGUAAUGGGAUUUAAAGCAGCAUUGUCUCACCCUUCAGUUUAAUUUUACAUUAACAGCUAUUAUGUGUGGGGAGAACUCUUUUCAUCCCAAGGCUUUGCUGUGUAUCUUUCUGUUCAUUUAGAAAUGACACUUUCAGUUACAAUGACCAUUGUGACACUAAGAAAUGUGUGAAAAAGAAAAACAAGUUGCUAUUUUUAUGUGGUCUGCACUAACCAGAUUUGCAGACCCUGAAUACUGGCUCCUCUGCCUGGUACUUGUUAUUUAAAGAACCCAAAUGCCAUCAUUAAUAAGGCCACUACCCAAGGAAUACUGGCAUUUCUUGGCAAAUUAUCUAGGAUUAAAAAAUACAGUUUCUCCAAGUAAAACUUAGAAAGGCUUGAAGUGGAAAAAAAAAAUCAAUGAUUGAAAGAGGAGGAGGAAGAAACUAGACAGUGAAAUAAAAUAAUUCCAAACCUCAGAAAUGUAUUUUAAUUGCAAAUGGAAAUAUUCACAUUUUUCUCAUUUAGAAGAGCAAUAAUUGCUGAAGAUUGCAAGGUGGGUUUGAGGGAGGAAGAACAAAUAGAUAUUUUUGUUAAAAUGAAUAAGGGCUAUAGGAAACAAGAGUAUGAAUCACUACCUUGCAAAAUUGGACAGGAAACAAAUGUAAAUUGUGGAAUCACAGAAUCUGGGAAUCCUGGAAUGGUUUGGGUUAGAAGGGAGCUCAAAGUCCAUGGGCAGGGACACCUUCCACCAUCCCAGGUGGCUCCAAGCCCCGUCCAACCUGGCCUUGGACACUUCCAGGGAUGGGGCAGCCACAGCUGCUCUGUUCAGUCUCUUCCACUGUUGAAUUGUCUUUACCUUUAAGGAGUUUCCUAAUUCAUUACUAUUGCAAUUUAACCCUUUCCAUUUUCUUUUCCAGCUGUUGCAGACACAGAGAAGAGUUUAUUUCCUCCCUCUCCUGCCGUCUUCACCCAUGAGGGCUGUGACCAGAGUUCCUCCCCACCAUCCCUGAACUAAAUAAUCCCUGAUCUUUUCUUUGGGAUUUCCUGCUCCCUUGGGGUGCUGGCAUCUAACAGUGCUCUCCCAAAUUUCAGGUCUCAUUUUCUUACUCAAGUAGCCUUUUCUGGAAGUACCUAAGUGCUGCAGAUCAGUGAGAAAGAGUGGCUGGGAGCUGAGCAGAUCCCUGUGUGGUUGUCCUGAAUUUUUGAAUCUCAAAUGUCUCAGAAGACUCAUUAUUACUAUCCCAAAAUAGCCAGAUGGCACAAACCAGGAAAGGCCAAAUAAUUCAUCAUUCCACAUUUAGGCUGGACUGGCCUCUGGGUGAAGCCAGGGUGGUUGAAAACCUUUUCAUGCUGCUACAGUCAGGAGAGUUUCUCCCUUUGUGAUGUAGAGAUUUUGACCUGUGCUGGGUGUCACAAGGCCAAAGUGCUCAGCAGAUGUAAAAUAUGUGAAGCUGGUUAUGAUCAUCAUUAAAACCAAUCAGCAGGCAAAGCACCAGGACCUGUUAAUUGGGCAGCUGAAGAAACACCCAAUGGCUCCAGAGUUUCUAAAUCUUUGAGCUCUACUGCCCUGUACAAAUAAAACAGCCUAAAUUCUGCAAAAAAUGACAUUAAAACUGAU